UAUGUUGCACACCCUGAUACAUGUGAA
rnacentral:misc_RNA from 1 species